UAGAUAGAGGCGCGGCCGACAAAAGUAAUCCUCACCAGGGGCACAGGAGCCCGGGGACGAAAGGGGAGGCCGCCGAAGGGCUGUACAUCCUGAGUGUGCAGUUCCUGGGUCGACGGAGAAUAUCCGGCGGACUGUCGUGAAAACGGAGAGCUAUCA
rnacentral:ncRNA from 1 species